GAUGAACGCUGGCGGCGUGCUUAACACAUGCAAGUCGAACGGUGAAGGCGGAGCUUGCUCUGCUGGAUCAGUGGCGAACGGGUGAGUAACACGUGAGCAAUCUGCCCCUGACUCUGGGAUAAGCGCUGGAAACGGCGUCUAAUACUGGAUACGAGCUGCGAAGGCAUCUUCAGCAGCUGGAAAGAAUUUCGGUCAGGGAUGAGCUCGCGGCCUAUCAGCUUGUUGGUGAGGUAAUGGCUCACCAAGGCGUCGACGGGUAGCCGGCCUGAGAGGGUGACCGGCCACACUGGGACUGAGACACGGCCCAGACUCCUACGGGAGGCAGCAGUGGGGAAUAUUGCACAAUGGGCGAAAGCCUGAUGCAGCAACGCCGCGUGAGGGACGACGGCCUUCGGGUUGUAAACCUCUUUUAGCGGGGAAGAAGCGAAAGUGACGGUACCUGCAGAAAAAGCGCCGGCUAACUACGUG
rnacentral:rRNA from 1 species